GUGAGGAAAAACCGAAGGCAAUUCUGGACAGGAAGGUGCAGCAAUUAAGGAACAAAUUCAUUCCUUCAGUGAAAGUACUUUGGGAGCACCACGUGCAGGAAGAGGCCACGUGGGAGUUGGAAGAUAAAAUGAGGGAGCGAUAUUCCGAGUUGUUCUAGUAAAGCCGUACAAAUUUCGGGACGAAAUUUCGUUUAAGGAGGGUGGAAUGUGACGCCCCGGAAUUUUGAUUCCUUUUAUGUUGGAUAAGCCGAACUUAUUAGACUACUUAAUCCUCGUGUGGAGGGCGUAUGAACGUAGAAAUUUCCGUUGUAAUUUCCAUCGUGGAAUAAAGCAAGUUUUUGUGAAGAAAGCAAAGUACAAGAAAUGUUCAAGAAUAAAAAGUAGGGAGUUAUGUUUAUUAAAAGAGCAAGUGGAAAUACAAUUUAUUGGAUUAUAGAAAUGCUAAUAGUACAUGCCAUGAAAGGGACAAUACACUCUUGGUUUUUUCUAAAUAAAUAUAGGAAACAAAAGCUUCAAGAGGAGUCUUCUUUCUCUCUUUCCCUCUCGAUUCUUGCUCCACAAAACACCAAGAAAAGACAACUUGCACCUACAAGUGAAACAUCAAAAUAGGUAUGAGAAUUUUGGAUUCACAAGACUCAAAAGUGGAGGACUUAUUCAAUAUAGCAAGCAUGAAAUCCUUGUGACACAUCACCAAGCUUGCAAAAAGAAUGAGAACAAGUUGAGCAAAGGAUAAGCUCAUCACCAAGGACCUUUUAAAGGCAACCAUAGAUUUCCACACCCUCCAAACCGAGACUAGGAGGCAGCCAAGAGGGGGGCAGCCCCAAGGCUUGCAUCAAAUAGGAAAGAUUCCCAUAAUCAAUAAGUUCAAAAGGGAGCAAGCUGGCAGCCAAAAAUAGGAGCCUUUGUCCCCAAGUUUCAGGCACAAAAUGCCAAUUCCUUGAGCUAUAUAAGAGGCCGCAGCCUUCGCCCCUCCCCACUCUUCGAACACCAAGAUUCACAACAUCAUAAGGAGAAAGCAGCAAGGAGUGAGGAAUGAGGCGAGGCGCCGGCAGCAAGAGAGACCGCAAGGAUUUUCAGCCGAGAGGUUGAACGUCAAGUUGAAGGAGGAAUUGAUCGGAGUCGAUGCUAUUAAAUAAGCUUGUGGAUUUCUCGGCGAUUCGUGUCUUCAUACACGAAGUCGUUUAGUAGGGACCUCUUUCCGCUGCUUUUAUUUCGUUAAGUGAGAAGCUUAUUGUCUCACCUUCGAACUCUGAUUUGGUUGUUGUGGUGAAUGAUUCUAUUUGAGAACAUGUAACCAAAUAUUCGGUUCCUUGUUUGCAGUGUUUAUUUGACUA